rnacentral:rRNA from 1 species
CGGGGUGCAGCAGGCGCGAAAACUUUGCAAUGCGGGAAACCGUGACAAGGGAACUCUGAGUGCCCGUAAAAUCGGGCUGUCCAUUGGUUUAAAUAACCAGUGAAGAAAGGGCCGGGCAAGACCGGUGCCAGCCGCCGCGGUAAUACCGGCGGCUCGAGUGGUGGCCACUAUUACUGGGCUUAAAGCGUUCGUAGCUGGUUUGUUAAGUCUCUGGGGAAAUCUUCCGGCUUAACCGGAAGGCGUCUCAGGGAUACUGGCAGACUAGGGACCGGGAGAGGUGAGAGGUACUCCAGGGGUAGGAGUGAAAUCCUGUAAUCCUUGGGGGACCACCUGUGGCGAAGGCGUCUCACCAGAACGGCUCCGACAGUGAGGGACGAAAGCUGGGGGAGCAAACCGGAUUAGAUACCCGGGUAGUCCCAGCUGUAAACGAUGCGCGUUAGGUGUAUCGGUGACCACGAGUCACCGAGGUGCCGAAGAGAAAUCGUGAAACGUGCCGCCUGGGAAGUACGGUCGCAAGGCUGAAACUUAAAGGAAUUGGCGG